UGUUGGACGGAGGAACGUCGGCACCAGCUAUCAUCCAUUAAGCCAGACGGUAAGGUGCAGAGUGAAAAAGGUCGUUGACCCCCUACCCCCCAACAUUUUGGCCACUUCGACCGGAUUUUUCGGACCAUUUUGGAAGCCACCUGGAACGGUACAAGGAACCAUUUUCUUCGCGGGAUCGCCAUUACAACCAAGCCGCCAAGCCCAAGCUUAAUUCGCCAUUGAAAUUAAGCCAACAAUACACUCCUGCAUGCGCGCCAUUGUUUCUUGGCUUGGCUUGGUUCGACUUGGUGCAUCGGCCCAACAAUUGUGGGUUUUUUGGAUUCAUCUGCACGCAACUUCCUGGAGGCUGGCAAGUUGAAACAACACACAUCAACGCAGCGACCGGUGAUUACGAGCCACAACUCAGGUGCCAACGAAUUGGUCGUUGGUUUGGACCUCGGUGCCUUAGACUCGGAAACAAUCUCCCUGGACUAUCCGUUGGUAAGCUGCAACGAUUGGCGGCGAUUGGAACAUCGCUGUGGGCCUUUAGGUUUCCAGAUCACGGACGGUGAUUGGAACAUCAUCGUCACCAUCAUCAUCGACUGCAGCUCAGACGAGGCGAAAGGUUUCGCUACCCGAUUGCUGUUUUGACGAUCAAUUGGUUCGAUGUCAGUGGUGCUCAACCUGCGUUAUCAAGCGAUUUGAAAUUUAAAGUAAGUUAAAUGAAAUCGGGAAAAAUAUUUAUUUUCACUUGGAAAAAAUAUAAUUCUAACGCUAAUUAAUCCUCUUCAACCCAAACACUAUUACCUGAGCCCUGGCGUCAUAGGACAAGAGGUCCAUGACUCGAAGUUUUUCUGUCUGACGGAUUGUUUGGGUUGCUUCAUGGUGCGUUUGCCCAGGGAUUCUGUUAAGAGGAUUUUCUUUUUAUUUCAGAAAUCGAGCUAUUUCUGGGUGGGUGAGGAUGUACGAAGGUGAUCGCUCCUAGGUACGCUACUGAUCGCAGCCCAUCAAUGCCCCCCCAUUGUCGGUGCGGUGGGCCGUUGGGAGAAGUUUUUCUCGAUCGCAGAACAAUAGCCCAGCGAUCCUCUCCACGAAGACGAAACUCACCACAACCGGCUGGCUGGCUGGUAGUAGACGAUUGGCAAGACAGUCCAGUCUAAGUCACCGUCCGUUGUUGUUGUAACCACGCUUGUAUCGUGUUGUUCAUUUGUUCAAGUAGCUUAAGUUUUAAAGUAAGAAUAAAUUGUUAAGUCGAAAUUGUGUUUAAUUCCCUAA